GACCAGACUCCUACGGGAGGCAGCAGUGAGGAAUAUUGGUCAAUGGUCGGGAGACUGAACCAGCCAAGCCGCGUGAGGGAGGAAGGUACAGAGUAUCGUAAACCUCCUUUGUCAGGGAACAAAGGCGGGGACGUGUCCCCGGAUGAGUGUACCUGAAGAAAAAGCAUCGGCUAACUCCGUGCCAGCAGCCGCGGUAAUACGGAGGAUGCGAGCGUUAUCCGGAUUUAUUGGGUUUAAAGGGUGCGUAGGCGGGCUGUUAAGUCAGCGGUAAAAUGGCGGGGCUCAACCCCGGCCUGCCGUUGAAACUGGCGGCCUCGAGUGGGCGAGAAGUAUGCGGAAUGCGUGGUGUAGCGGUGAAAUGCAUAGAUAUCACGCAGAACUCCGAUUGCGAAGGCAGCAUACCGGCGCCCGACUGACGCUGAGGCACGAAAGCGUGGGUAUCGAACAGGAUUAGAUACCCUCGUA
rnacentral:rRNA from 1 species